rnacentral:rRNA from 1 species
UACGUAGGGUGCAAGCGUUGUCCGGAAUUAUUGGGCGUAAAGAGCUCGUAGGCGGUCUGUCGCGUCGGCUGUGAAAACCCGGGGCUCAACCCCGGGCCUGCAGUCGAUACGGGCAGACUAGAGUGCGGUAGGGGAGAUUGGAAUUCCUGGUGUAGCGGUGGAAUGCGCAGAUAUCAUUUGGAACGCCAAUGGUGAAAACAGGUAGCUGGGGGUGUGCUGACGCUGAGACACGAAAGCCAGGGGAGCAAACGGG